CUGCUUGUUGUCACUGCUACACUCCCACCAGCACCAUGACAGUUUACAAAUGUCAUGGCAAGGUCAGAAAGUUACCCUAUGUGGUCUAAAAAGGCGAG